rnacentral:rRNA from 1 species
AUACGUAGGUGACAAGCGUUAUCCGGAUUUACUGGGCGUAAAGGGCGUGUAGGCGGUCUUGCAAGUCAGAAGUGAAAUUCCUGAGCUCAACUCGGGCGCUGCUUCUGAAACUGCAGGACUUGAGUGCUGGAGGGGAUAGCGGAAUUCCUAGUGGAGCGGGAAAAUGCGCAGAUAUUAGGAAGAACGCCGGUGGCGAAGGCGGUUAGCUGGACAGUAACUGACUCUGAGGGGCGAAAGCGGUGGGAGCAAACAGGAUUAGAUACCCUGGUAGUACACGCCGUAAGCGAUGAAUACUAGGUGUAGGGGGUAUCGACUCCCUCUGUGCCGCAGUUAACACAAUAAGUAUUCCGCCUGGGGAGUACGGCCGCAAGGUUGAAAAUCAAAUGAAUUGACGGG